UUCAAUCUUAGUUAUUAUUCAGUCGCAUUGUAAGUGUGUCUGAGAGUGAAGCCCCCUACCACCACCACACAAACAUAAUGUUCACAUUUGUAUUCAACGUUGAUAAUAAAUCCAUGAAACAUUAAAAAUAUAUUUAGUAAUUAGUGUAGGUAGUGGAGUAAGUACGGCAUAUGACUGCCGGCAUAUUUCUGGGCAUGAGUGGUGAUUAACUUUUUAUUGUUAUUAUUAAAGAAUUAAAGAAUGUUUUACAACAAAUGGGCAUCAGUUUGCAGUAGCAGCAAGAAUGAUAAAUAAUACAAAAUAACAAAAAUAAAAAAUAAAUUAACUUCACCAGGAUUAAUCAAUAUACAACAUACGAAACUCAAACAGCCUUUAUGUACUUCUACUAUACAAUCUCUUUGAAAAUAAAAGAACAUUUUAAAGUCAUUUUUAAGGAUCAAGUGGCGAUUAAUUAACUUCUGCUUUGGAGAUCCUGCGUGGAGUUGAGGUAUGGUUCGAUUAGCUCUGUUUUCCUUUGGUUUUCCUGCGGCUUCACUGCAGACACGCCCAGACAAUGUUAUCGGAAUUUACACAACAAGACAAUACCGAGUAACAUUGUUGUUUAUCAGAGACACUACUUUUAAAUUCAUAAAUGGGGACUCAAGACGCUUCCGGGGACGAAGACUGUCUUUUCUGCCAAAUAGCAAACAACCAGAGUGAGGCAGAAAUCCUGCUCAGUGACGAUGAGUUGGUGUGUUUUCGUGACAUGAAACCUGGUGCCGUACAUCAUUACCUCGUUGUUCCCAGGAGGCAUAUCGACAACUGCAAAACUCUCCAGAGGGACAACGUAUCUCUGGUGGAACGGAUGGAAGAAAUGGGAAGGAGUAUACUUCAGAAGAACCAAGUCUGCGACUUAGAUGACAUCAGGAUGGGGUUUCACCUGCCUCCAUUCUCAUCUGUUCCCCACCUCCACCUCCACGCUCUGGCCCCGGCCAGUAAGAUGAACAUGAGGUCGCAGCUUCGCUACGGGCCGCAGUCUCACUGGUUUAUCACGGUAGACAAAGUGCUUUCUCAGCUGAAGACUGGCGGCAAAGUCAAAUGAGCAGAAGUGUCUGAAAAUGCAACAAUCGUGUUUUCUAUUGAGAAGGCCAAGAUUCCACUAGCGCUUUUGAGAUUGCGUUAACUGGAAGCGUGUGCCCGUGGGCUCAUGGAUACGUGGAGGGGAGACAGUCGUGCACAGUUUGUGCACAUUGGAGUGAGUCAUUGUUUGAUGUCGACGUCUCAAGAUGAGUCGCAGUCCCGAUGAAGAUGCUGGUGCUGAUAGUGAGGCCGGCCACCAUGUUAAGAACGAUAAUCCUUUGGCCGGAGGAUUUGGGAAAAAGGUGGGAGCGAAGAGGUGAUGAAAGGAGCAUCCGGAAAUACAAGCAGUGGUUGGCUGAAAGCAGGAUCUGACAGAGACUUUUAUGAGCCUUUCACAAUGUGGCAUUAUGUAAAUAGCAUAGAGGUCGAAUGUGCAAGUGGUUGUUUUUGCAACUCCAUCAGAAAAAAAAAAAUUGCAUUCUAUUGAUCAACUGUGCAUAUUAAAUAAACCUGUAACACAGACAAAAUAAUCACCAACCACUAGCCAACUAUAUGCAGCCAUCAGCAGAUUGUGCUAAAGGGGCAACCUUAUUAUGACUAGAUCAAAGUGUCUUCUUUAGUUUCACAUACUGCACACGCCGUGAAUCGUUUUAUGUUUCUGUCAUAAUGCAUCACUGGUGAGAAAUACAGAUGACUAAAAAAGCAAAUGUAUUCAAGGCCUUCAUGUCAUCGAGAAUUUUUUGAGUGUCCAAAACUGUAACGCCCGUCAUCAACACUUCAUGUCAGACCUACUAAAUUCAUCCAACUUUAAUCUAAACCUUCACAACUUGUUAGCAUGCUCCCCUCUGACACGUCAACACCCUGCACGCGCCACAAGUGACAGAACUGUGAACUGACAGACGAGAGGGGAGUUCAUGCAUGAUGCGUGUUCUACAGGUAAAAAUUUUAAUUUAUUUAACAGAUGCAGGGGCACAGCUGAAAUAAAACUCCCCGUCAGGCCGG